rnacentral:antisense_RNA from 1 species
GGCCGCCGAGCGCAUACUGGACGGCGGCCCACAGUUCACUCCUCAGGCGCGGAAGAAAUGGUGGAAGGCCCAGCUCUGGAUGAUCCUGGGCGCUGCCCCCGUUACCCGUUACCAAGAAGAAGGACUCCUGACCUUCAGGCUCAGUGUGGCUCGGUCAUAUUCCAACACCCGGAUGGCUGGAUUAUUGGCCCCAUUGACCACUCCAGAGCAUCCGAAAGCUGUCGGUGUGGUGGUGCCCGAAGAACUGCCCUGCUAUGACGCCAUGAUGCUUCCGGACCACCUUCAGAUGGGGAGACUGAGCGAGUGAGCGGCAGACCGGGGAUUCCGAGCACGUCACAAUGGAAAUUAUUACGGUGCACUAUAUUCUGCCACCACCUACUAGCAUGGCCUUGGAGAUAUAUACAGGUUUUCCUUGACUUACGAUGGGGCUACGUCCCCCAAAAUUGAAAAAUAUCAUAAAUCAAAAAUGCAUUCAACACACCCAACCUACCA